AUUGAACGCUGGCGGAAUGCUUUACACAUGUAAGUCGAACGGCAGCACGGACUUCGGUCUGGUGGCGAGUGGCGAACGGGUGAGUAAUGUAUCGGAACGUGCCCAGUCGUGGGGGAUAACGUAGUGAAAAUUACGCUAAUACCGCAUACGAUCUAUGGAUGAAAGCGGGGGAUCGCAAGACCUCGCGCGAUUGGAGCGGCCGAUAUCAGAUUAGGUAGUUGGUGGGGUAAAGGCCCACCAAGCCAACGAUCUGUAGCUGGUCUGAGAGGACGACCAGCCGCACUGGAACUGAGACACGGUCCAGACUCCUACGGGAGGCAGCAGUGGGGAAUUUUGGACACUGGGCGAAAGCCUGAUCCAGCCAUUCCGCGUGCAGGAUGAAGGCCCUCGGGUUGUAAACUGCUUUUGUACAGAACGAAAAGGUUUCUACUAAUACUAGGAGCUCAUGACGGUACUGUAAGAAUAAGCACCGGCUAACUACGUGCCAGCCGCCGCCGUAA
rnacentral:rRNA from 1 species